rnacentral:rRNA from 1 species
AGAGUUUGAUCCUGGCUCAGAUUGAACGCUGGCGGCAGGCCUAACACAUGCAAGUCGAGCGGUAGAGAGAAGCUUGCUUCUCUUGAGAGCGGCGGACGGGUGAGUAAUGCCUAGGAAUCUGCCUGGUAGUGGGGGAUAACGUUCGGAAACGGACGCUAAUACCGCAUACGUCCUACGGGAGAAAGCAGGGGACCUUCGGGCCUUGCGCUAUCAGAUGAGCCUAGGUCGGAUUAGCUAGUUGGUGAGGUAAUGGCUCACCAAGGCGACGAUCCGUAACUGGUCUGAGAGGAUGAUCAGUCACACUGGAACUGAGACACGGUCCAGACUCCUACGGGAGGCAGCAGUGGGGAAUAUUGGACAAUGGGCGAAAGCCUGAUCCAGCCAUGCCGCGUGUGUGAAGAAGGUCUUCGGAUUGUAAAGCACUUUAAGUUGGGAGGAAGGGUUGUAGAUUAAUACUCUGCAAUUUUGACGUUACCGACAGAAUAAGCACCGGCUAACUCUGUGCCAGCAGCCGCGGUAAUACAGAGGGUGCAAGCGUUAAUCGGAAUUACUGGGCGUAAAGCGCGCGUAGGUGGUUUGUUAAGUUGGAUGUGAAAUCCCCGGGCUCAACCUGGGAACUGCAUUCAAAACUGACUGACUAGAGUAUGGUAGAGGGUGGUGGAAUUUCCUGUGUAGCGGUGAAAUGCGUAGAUAUAGGAAGGAACACCAGUGGCGAAGGCGACCACCUGGACUAAUACUGACACUGAGGUGCGAAAGCGUGGGGGAGCAAACAGGAUUAGAUACCCUGGUAGUCCACGCCGUAAACGAUGUCAACUAGCCGUUGGAAGCCUUGAGCUUUUAGUGGCGCAGCUAACGCAUUAAGUUGACCGCCUGGGGAGUACGGCCGCAAGGUUAAAACUCAAAUGAAUUGACGGGGGCCCGCACAAGCGGUGGAGCAUGUGGUUUAAUUCGAAGCAACGCGAAGAACCUUACCAGGCCUUGACAUCCAAUGAACUUUCUAGAGAUAGAUUGGUGCCUUCGGGAACAUUGAGACAGGUGCUGCAUGGCUGUCGUCAGCUCGUGUCGUGAGAUGUUGGGUUAAGUCCCGUAACGAGCGCAACCCUUGUCCUUAGUUACCAGCACGUUAUGGUGGGCACUCUAAGGAGACUGCCGGUGACAAACCGGAGGAAGGUGGGGAUGACGUCAAGUCAUCAUGGCCCUUACGGCCUGGGCUACACACGUGCUACAAUGGUCGGUACAGAGGGUUGCCAAGCCGCGAGGUGGAGCUAAUCCCAUAAAACCGAUCGUAGUCCGGAUCGCAGUCUGCAACUCGACUGCGUGAAGUCGGAAUCGCUAGUAAUCGCGAAUCAGAAUGUCGCGGUGAAUACGUUCCCGGGCCUUGUACACACCGCCCGUCACACCAUGGGAGUGGGUUGCACCAGAAGUAGCUAGUCUAACCUUCGGGAGGACGGUUACCACGGUGUGAUUCAUGACUGGGGUGAAGUCGUAACAAGGUAACC